GCCGGGUGACCCUGGAAAUCCAGAGUGGGUGGGGCCUGUCUGACCGUUUCUAGGCGACCCACUCUUGGUUUCCAGGGUUGCCCUGG
rnacentral:pre_miRNA from 20 species